AUUGAACGCUGGCGGCAUGCUUUACACAUGCAAGUCGAACGGCAGCGCGGGCUUCGGCCUGGCGGCGAGUGGCGAACGGGUGAGUAAUAUAUCGGAACGUACCCAGGAGUGGGGGAUAACGUAGCGAAAGUUACGCUAAUACCGCAUACGUCCUACGGGAGGAAGUGGGGGAUCGCAAGACCUCAUGCUCAUGGAGCGGCCGAUAUCUGAUUAGCUAGUUGGUGGGGUAAAGGCUCACCAAGGCAACGAUCAGUAGCUGGUCUGAGCGGAGGACCAGCCACACUGGAGCUGAGACACGGUCCAGACUCCUACGGGAGGCAGCAGUGGGGAAUUUUGGACAAUGGGGGCAACCCUGAUCCAGCAAUGCCGCGUGUGUGAAGAAGGCCUUCGGGUUGUAAAGCACUUUUGUCCGGAAAGAAAUGGCUCUGGUUAAUACCUGGGGUCGAUGACGGUACCGGAAGAAUAAGCACCGGCUAACUACGUGCCAGCCGCCGCGGUAAGAC
rnacentral:rRNA from 1 species